GGAGAGGUGGCCGAGUGGCUGAAGGCAGCGGUUUGCUAAACCGCCAUAGGGGCUUAAACCUCUAUCGCGAGUUCGAAUCUCGCCCUCUCCG
rnacentral:tRNA from 1 species